rnacentral:rRNA from 1 species
AACGAACGCUGGCGGCAUGCCUAACACAUGCAAGUCGAACGAGACCUUCGGGUCUAGUGGCGCACGGGUGCGUAACGCGUGGGAACCUGCCCUUAGGUUCGGAAUACCUCCCCGAAAGGGGUGCUAAUACCGGAUAAUGUCUUCGGACCAAAGAUUUAUCGCCUUUGGAUGGGCCCGCGUUGGAUUAGCCAGUUGGUAGGGUAAAAGCCUACCAAGGCGACGAUCCAUAGCUGGUCUGAGAGGAUGAUCAGCCACACUGGGACUGAGACACGGCCCAGACUCCUACGGGAGGCAGCAGUGGGGGAUAUUGGACAAUGGGCGAAAGCCUGAUCCAGCAAUGCCGCGUGAGUGAUGAAGGCCUGAGAGUUGUAAAGCUCUUUUACCCGGGAUGAUAAUGACAGUACCGGGAGAAUAAGCACCGGCUAACUCCGUG